GGACGAACGCUGGCGGCGUGCUUAACACAUGCAAGUCGAACGGAUUGCUUGGUGCUUGCACUGAGUGGUUAGUGGCGAACGGGUGAGUAACACGUGAGUAACCUGCCCCCUUCUUUGGGAUAAGCACCUGAAAGGGUGUCUAAUACUGAUUAUUCUGCUGGAAUCGCAUGGUUUUGGUUGGAAAGGUUUUUCUGGUGGGGGAUGGGCUCGCGGCUUAUCAGCUUGUUGGUGGGGUAAUGGCUUACCAAGGCGAUGACGGGUAGGGGACCUGAGAGGGUGGCCCCCCACAAUGGAACUGAAACACGGUCCAUACACCUACGGGUGGCAGCAGUAGGGAAUAUUAGUAAUGGGCGAAAGCCUGAACUAGCAACGCCGCGUGUGCGAAGAAGGCCUUCGGGUCGUAAAGCACUUUUUGAGAGGAUGAGGAAGGACGGUACUCUCAGAAUAAGUCUCGGCUAACUACGUGCCAGCAGCCGCGGUAACACGUAGGAGGCAAACGUUAUCCGGAUUUACUGGGCGUAAAGCGCGUGUAGGUGGUUUGGUAAGUAGGGCGUGAAAGCUCCUGGCUCAACUGGGAGAGGACGUUCUAAACUGCCAAGCUUGAGGAUGGUAGAGGGAGGUGGAAUUCCGGGUGUAGCGGUGGAAUGCGCAGAUAUCCGGAGGAACACCAGUGGCGAAGGCGGCCUCCUGGACCACUCCUGACACUCAGACGCGAAAGCUAGGGUAGCAAACGGGAUUAGAGACCCCGGUAGUCCUAGCCCUAAACGAUGUAGACUUGGCGUCGGUGGUUUAAUCGCCAUCGGUGUCGUAGCUAACGCGAUAAGUCUACCGCCUGGGGACUACGGCCGCAAGGUUAAAACUCACAGGAAUUGACGGGUCCCCGCACAAGCAGCGGAGCGUGUGGUUUAAUUCGAUGCUACACGAAGAACCUUACCUGGGUUUGACAUAGAGGUAGUAGGGAAGCGAAAGCGGACCGACCCUUCGGGGAGCCUCUACAGGUGUUGCAUGGCUGUCGUCAGCUCGUGUCGUGAGAUGUUCGGUUAAGUCCGCUAACGAGCGCAACCCUCGCUGUGUGUUACAAGUGUCACACGGUACUGCCGAUAUUAAGUCGGAGGAAGGUGGGGAUGACGUCAAGUCAGCAUGACCUUUAUAUCCAGGGCUACACACACGCUACAAUGGCCAGUACAAUGGGUUGCCAAGCCGCGAGGCGGAGCCAAUCCUAAAAAGCUGGCCUCAGUUCAGAUUGCAGUCUGCAACUCGACUGCAUGAAGUUGGAGUUGCUAGUAACCGCAGGUCAGCAAUACUGCGGUGAAUACGUUCCCGGGGAU
rnacentral:rRNA from 1 species